rnacentral:rRNA from 1 species
GGGUUGUGAGGUUAAGCGACUAAGCGUACACGGUGGAUGCCCUGGCAGUCAGAGGCGAUGAAGGACGUGCUAAUCUGCGAAAAGCGUCGGUAAGGUGAUAUGAACCGUUACAGCCGGCGAUGUCCGAAUGGGGAAACCCAGUGUGAUUCGUCACACUAUCGUUAACUGAAUACAUAGGUUAACGAGGCGAACCGGGGGAACUGAAACAUCUAAGUACCCCGAGGAAAAGAAAUCAACCGAGAUUCCCCCAGUAGCGGCGAGCGAACGGGGAGCAGCCCAGAGUCUGAAUCAGCUUGUGUGUGGAACGGUCUGGAAAGUCCGACGGUACAGGGUGAUAGUCCCGUACACCAAAAUGCACAGGCUGUGAACUCGAAGAGUAGGGCGGGACACGUGGUAUCCUGUCUGAAUAUGGGGACCAUCCUCCAAGGCUAAAUACUCCUGACUGACCGAUAGUGAACCAGUACCGUGAGGAAAGGCGAAAAGAACCCCGGCGAGGGAGUGAAAAGAACCUGAAACCGUGUACGUACAAGCAGUGGGAGCACCUUCGGGUGUGACUGCGUACCUUUGUAUAAUGGGUCAGCGACUUAUAUUCUGUAGCAAGGUUAACCGUAUAGGGGAGCCGCAGGGAAACCGAGUCUUAACUGGGCGUUAAGUUGCAGGGUAUAGACCCGAAACCCGGUGAUCUAGCCAUGGGCAGGUUGAAGGUUGGGUAACACUAACUGGAGGACCGAACCGACUAAUGUUGAAAAAUUAGCGGAUGACUUGUGGCUGGGGGUGAAAGGCCAAUCAAACCGGGAGAUAGCUGGUUCUCCCCGAAAGCUAUUUAGGUAGCGCCUCGUGAAUUCAUCUUCGGGGGUAGAGCACUGUUUCGGCUAGGGGGUCAUCCCGACUUACCAACCCGAUGCAAACUACGAAUACCGAAGAAUGUUAUCACGGGAGACACACGGCGGGUGCUAACGUCCGUCGUGAAGAGGGAAACAACCCAGACCGCCAGCUAAGGUCCCAAAGUCAUGGUUAAGUGGGAAACGAUGUGGGAAGGCACAGACAGCCAGGAUGUUGGCUUAGAAGCAGCCAUCAUUUAAAGAAAGCGUAAUAGCUCACUGGUCGAGUCGGCCUGCGCGGAAGAUGUAACGGGGCUAAACCAUGCACCGAAGCUGCGGCAGCGACACUAUGUGUUGUUGGGUAGGGGAGCGUUCUGUAAGCCUGCGAAGGUGACCUGUGAGGGUUGCUGGAGGUAUCAGAAGUGCGAAUGCUGACAUAAGUAACGAUAAAGCGGGUGAAAAGCCCGCUCGCCGGAAGACCAAGGGUUCCUGUCCAACGUUAAUCGGGGCAGGGUGAGUCGACCCCUAAGGCGAGGCCGAAAGGCGUAGUCGAUGGGAAACAGGUUAAUAUUCCUGUACUUGGUGUUACUGCGAAGGGGGGACGGAGAAGGCUAUGUUAGCCGGGCGACGGUUGUCCCGGUUUAAGCAUGUAGGCUGGUUGUCCAGGCAAAUCCGGAUAAUCAAGGCUGAGGUGUGAUGACGAGGCACUACGGUGCUGAAGUAACAAAUGCCCUGCUUCCAGGAAAAGCCUCUAAGCAUCAGGUAACAUCAAAUCGUACCCCAAACCGACACAGGUGGUCAGGUAGAGAAUACCAAGGCGCUUGAGAGAACUCGGGUGAAGGAACUAGGCAAAAUGGUGCCGUAACUUCGGGAGAAGGCACGCUGGUGUGUAGGUGAAGUCCCUGCGGAUGGAGCUGAGACCAGUCGAAGAUACCAGCUGGCUGCAACUGUUUAUUAAAAACACAGCACUGUGCAAACACGAAAGUGGACGUAUACGGUGUGACGCCUGCCCGGUGCCGGAAGGUUAAUUGAUGGGGUUAUCCGUAAGGAGAAGCUCUUGAUCGAAGCCCCGGUAAACGGCGGCCGUAACUAUAACGGUCCUAAGGUAGCGAAAUUCCUUGUCGGGUAAGUUCCGACCUGCACGAAUGGCGUAAUGAUGGCCAGGCUGUCUCCACCCGAGACUCAGUGAAAUUGAACUCGCUGUGAAGAUGCAGUGUACCCGCGGCAAGACGGAAAGACCCCGUGAACCUUUACUAUAGCUUGACACUGAACAUUGAGCCUUGAUGUGUAGGAUAGGUGGGAGGCUUUGAAGCGUGGACGCCAGUCUGCGUGGAGCCAACCUUGAAAUACCACCCUUUAAUGUUUGAUGUUCUAACGUUGGCCCCUUACCGGGGUUGCGGACAGUGUCUGGUGGGUAGUUUGACUGGGGCGGUCUCCUCCCAAAGCGUAACGGAGGAGCACGAAGGUUAGCUAAUCCUGGUCGGACAUCAGGAGGUUAGUGCAAUGGCAUAAGCUAGCUUGACUGCGAGCGUGACGGCGCGAGCAGGUGCGAAAGCAGGUCAUAGUGAUCCGGUGGUUCUGAAUGGAAGGGCCAUCGCUCAACGGAUAAAAGGUACUCCGGGGAUAACAGGCUGAUACCGCCCAAGAGUUCAUAUCGACGGCGGUGUUUGGCACCUCGAUGUCGGCUCAUCACAUCCUGGGGCUGAAGUAGGUCCCAAGGGUAUGGCUGUUCGCCAUUUAAAGUGGUACGCGAGCUGGGUUUAGAACGUCGUGAGACAGUUCGGUCCCUAUCUGCCGUGGGCGCUGGAGAAUUGAGGGGGGCUGCUCCUAGUACGAGAGGACCGGAGUGGACGCAUCACUGGUGUUCGGGUUGUCAUGCCAAUGGCACUGCCCGGUAGCUAAAUGCGGAAGAGAUAAGUGCUGAAAGCAUCUAAGCACGAAACUUGCCCCGAGAUGAGUUCUCCCUGAGACUUUAAGUCUCCUGAAGGAACGUUAAAGACGAUGACGUUGAUAGGCCGGGUGUGUAAGCGCAGCGAUGCGUUGAGCUAACCGGUACUAAUGAACCGUGAGGCUUAACCUUACAACGCCGAAG